UACGAAGGGGGCGAGCGUUGUUCGGAAUUACUGGGCGUAAAGGGCGCGCAGGCGGCUCAGACAGUCAGAUGUGAAAGCCCCGGGCUUAACCUGGGAACUGCAUUUGAUACUACUGAGCUUGAGUACGGGAGAGGAUAGUGGAAUUCCCAGUGUAGAGGUGAAAUUCGUAGAUAUUGGGAAGAACACCGGUGGCGAAGGCGGCCAUCUGGACCGUAACUGACGCUGAGGCGCGAAAGCGUGGGGAGCAAACAGG
rnacentral:rRNA from 1 species